rnacentral:rRNA from 1 species
GUGGAUUAGAUACCCGGGUAGUCCACGCCCUAAACGAUGUCAACUAGUUGUUGGUAGGGUUAAACCUAUUAGUAACGUAGCUAACGCGUGAAGUUGACCGCCUGGGGAGUACGGUCGCAAGAUUAAAACUCAAAGGAAUUGACGGGGACCCGCACAAGCGGUGGAUGAUGUGGAUUAAUUCGAUGCAACGCGAAAAACCUUACCUACCCUUGACAUGUCAAGAAUCCCGAAGAGAUUUGGGAGUGCCGCAAGGAACUUGAACACAGGUGCUGCACGGCCGUCGUCAACU